rnacentral:rRNA from 1 species
AACGAACGCUGGCGGCAGGCCUAACACAUGCAAGUCGAGCGAGGACUUCGGUUCUAGCGGCGGACGGGGGAGUAACGCGGGGGAAUGUGCCCUUCUCUACGGAAUAGCCCUGGGAAACUGGGAGUAAUACCGUAUACGCCCUAUUGGGGAAAGAUUUAUCGGAGAAGGAUCAGCCCGCGUUGGAUUAGGUAGUUGGUGGGGUAAUGGCCUACCAAGCCGACGAUCCAUAGCUGGUUUGAGAGGAGGAUCAGCCACACUGGGACUGAGACACGGCCCAGACUCCUACGGGAGGCAGCAGUGGGGAAUCUUAGACGAUGGAGGCAACCCUGAUCUAGCCAUGCCGCGUGAGUGAUGAAGGCCUUAGGGUUGUAAAGCUCUUUCAGCUGGGAAGAUAAUGACGGUACCAGCAGAAGAAGCCCCGGCUAACUCCGUG